rnacentral:rRNA from 1 species
CCUACGGGGGGCAGCAGUGGGGAAUAUUGGACAAUGGGCGAAAGCCUGAUCCAGCCAUGCCGCGUGUGUGAAGAAGGCCUUCGGGUUGUAAAGCACUUUCAGUGGGGAAGAAAGCCUUGGGGCUAAUACCCUCGAGGAAGGACAUCACCCACAGAAGAAGCACCGGCUAACUCCGUGCCAGCAGCCGCGGUAAUACGGAGGGUGCGAGCGUUAAUCGGAAUUACUGGGCGUAAAGCGCGCGUAGGCGGUCUGAUAAGCCGGUUGUGAAAGCCCCGGGCUCAACCUGGGAACGGCAUCCGGAACUGUCAGGCUAGAGUGCAGUAGAGGAGGGUAGAAUUCCCGGUGUAGCAGUGAAAUGCGUAGAGAUCGGGAGGAAUACCAGUGGCGAAGGCGGCCUUCUGGACUGACACUGACGCUGAGGUGCGAAAGCGUGGGUAGCAAACAGGAUUAGAUACCCGGGUAGUC